rnacentral:rRNA from 1 species
AUUGAACGCUAGCGGGAUGCCUUACACAUGCAAGUCGAACGGAGUGGCGAACGGGUGAGUAAUGUAUCGGAACGUGCCCAGUAGCGGGGGAUAACUACGCGAAAGCGUAGCUAAUACCGCAUACUAUUGGAGCGGCCGAUAUCGGAUUAGCUAGUUGGGGGGGUAGCGGCUCACCCAGGCGACGAUCCGGAGCGUGUUUGAGUGGACGACCAGCCAGCAUGGGACUGUGACACGUCCCAGACUCCUACGGGAGGCAGCAGUGGGGAAUUUUGGACAAUGGGGGAAACCCUGAUCCAGCCAUCCCGCGUGUGCGAUGAAGGCCUGCGGGUUGUAAAGCACGUUUGGCAGGAAAGCGGUACCUGCAGAAUAAGCACCGGCUAACUACGUGCCAGCAGCCGCGGUAAUAC